rnacentral:rRNA from 1 species
GAUGAACGCUGGCGGCGUGCUUAACACAUGCAAGUCGAGCGGGCAAUUUAUCUAGCACUGAUUACUUCAAAUGGCUAUCGCCAGUGUAAUCAUGAAUUUCUACCUUUUAAUAAAGAAAAAGAAAUUCAUGUACGCAAAUAGUGAUAACACAUGAAAGUGGAGUGAUGAGUGCUGGAUAAAUUGCUAGCGGCGGACGGGUGCGUAACACGUGGGUAACCUGCCCCUAUCACUGGGGAUAACACACUGAAAAGUGUGCUAAUACCAGAUAAUAUAAGCUUUUGGCAUCAUUAGCUUAUCAAAGAAUUUCGGAUAGGGAUGGGCCCGCGUCUGAUUAGCUAGUUGGUGAGGUAACGGCUCACCAAGGCAACGAUCAGUAGCCGACCUGAGAGGGUGAUCGGCCACACUGGAACUGAGACACGGUCCAGACUCCUACGGGAGGCAGCAGUGG